GGUCACAAAGCUGGGGGGUCUGAUUUGCAUGGAUGGACUCUCCCCCUCUCAGAGUAUGAAGAGAGGGAGAGAUUUGGGUGAAGCGCAGCUUCAGCUGUGGGUACAGAAGGCAGGACUCAGGACAAUCUCCACCAUGGCCUGGUCCCCUCUCCUCCUCACCCUCCUCACUUACUGUGCAGGGUCCUGGGCCCAGUCUGUGCUGACUCAACCUCCCUCAGCGUCGGGGGCCCCCGGGCAGAGUGUCACCAUCUCCUGUUCUGGAAGCAGCUCCAACAUCGGAAGUAAUUAUGUAUCCUGGUACCAGCAGCUCCCAGGAACAGCUCCCAAACUCCUCAUCUAUUAUGAUAAUCAGCGAGCCUCAGGGGUCUCUGACCGAUUCUCUGGCUCCAAGUCUGGCACGUCAGCCUCCCUGGCCAUCAGUGGGCUCCAGACCGAGGAUGAGGCUGAUUAUUACUGCUCAGCAUGGGAUGACAGCCUGAAUGCUCACACAGUGCUCCAGGGUCAGGGGGAAGUGAGACAAGAACCCUCUUCCUUCUCUGCCCGAAGGGUGAGCCCCGGCAGUUGCUGCUCAGGCCUGGUCUGUGGCUUCUGCUGCUGUAGCUUCCCCCACGGGGCCAGGGGCAUCCAGGGCUCUGCCUGA